rnacentral:misc_RNA from 1 species
ACCACAGUUCUUGCAGGAUGA